rnacentral:rRNA from 1 species
GAUGAACGCUGGCGGCGUGCCUAAUACAUGCAAGUCGAGCGAACAGACGAGGAGCUUGCUCCUCUGACGUUAGCGGCGGACGGGUGAGUAACAUGUGGAUAACCUACCUAUAAGACUGGGAUAACUUCGGGAAACCGGAGCUAAUACCGGAUAAUAUAUUGAACCGCAUGGUUCAAUAGUGAAAGACGGUUUUGCUGUCACUUAUAGAUGGAUCCGCGCCGCAUUAGCUAGUUGGUAAGGUAACGGCUUACCAAGGCAACGAUGCGUAGCCGACCUGAGAGGGUGAUCGGCCACACUGGAACUGAGACACGGUCCAGACUCCUACGGGAGGCAGCAGUAGGGAAUCUUCCGCAAAGGGCGAAAGCCUGACGGAGCAACGCCGCGUGAGUGAUGAAGGUCUUCGGAUCGUAAAACUCUGUUAUUAGGGAAGAACAAAUGUGUAAGUAACUAUGCACGUCUUGACGGUACCUAAUCAGAAAGCCACGGCUAACUACGUG